rnacentral:rRNA from 1 species
CUGGCGGCGUGCCUAAUACAUGCAAGUCGAACGGUCUUUCUAUGGAAGCUUGCUUCCACUGAGAAGAUAGUGGCGAACGGGUGAGUAACACGUGGGUAACCUGCCCAUAAGAGGGGGAUAACAUCCGGAAACGGGUGCUAAUACCGCAUAGUUUUCUUGAUCGCAUGAUUGAGAAAGGAAAGACGGCCUUUGUGCUGUCGCUUAUGGAUGGACCCGCGGCGUAUUAGUUAGUUGGUGAGGUAACGGCUCACCAAGACGAUGAUACGUAGCCGACCUGAGAGGGUGAUCGGCCACAUUGGGACUGAGACACGGCCCAAACUCCUACGGGAGGCAGCAGUAGGGAAUCUUCCGCAAUGGACGAAAGUCUGACGGAGCAACGCCGCGUGAGUGAAGAAGGUUUUCGGAAUCGUAAAACUCUGUUGUCAGAGAAGAACAAGUUGGAGAGUAACUGCUCCAGCCUUGACGGUAUCUGACCAGAAAGCCACGGCUAACUACGUGCCAGCAGCAGC